rnacentral:rRNA from 1 species
GAUCAUGGCUCAGGAUGAACGCUAGCUACAGGCUUAACACAUGCAAGUCGAGGGGCAGCAUGUGGUUGCUUGCAACCAAUGAUGGCGACCGGCGCACGGGUGAGUAACGCGUAUCCAACCUUCCCCUUAGUAGGGCAUAGCCCGUAGAAAUGCGGAUUAAUACCCUAUGUUGUAUAUUGAGGACAUCUGAUUUAUACCAAAGGUUCACCGCUAAGGGAUGGGGAUGCGUCUGAUUAGGUAGUCGGCGGGGUAACGGCCCACCGAGCCUACGAUCAGUAGGGGUUCUGAGAGGAAGGUCCCCCACAUUGGAACUGAGACACGGUCCAAACUCCUACGGGAGGCAGCAGUGAGGAAUAUUGGUCAAUGGACGAGAGUCUGAACCAGCCAAGUAAGCGUGCAGGAUGACGGCCCUAUGGGUUGUAAACUGCUUUUAUACGGGGAUAAAGUGACCCACGUGUGGGUUUUUGUAGGUACCGUAUGAAUAAGGACCGGCUAAUUCCGUGCCAGCAGCUGC